GACGAACGCUGGCGGCGUGCUUAACACAUGCAAGUCGAACGGUGAAGCGCUUGCCUUUUUGGUGGGUGUGGAUGAGUGGCGAACGGGUGAGUAACACGUGAGUAACCUGCCCUCUUCUUCUGGAUAACCUCAUGAAAGUGGGGCUAAUACGGGGUAUUCCGGGUCUGUCGCAUGGCGGGUUUGGGAAAGAUUGCGCCUUUGGGUGUUUUCGGUGGGGGAUGGGCUCGCGGCCUAUCAGCUUGUUGGUGGGGUGAUGGCCUACCAAGGCGGUGACGGGUAGCCGGCCUGAGAGGGUGGACGGCCACACUGGGACUGAGACACAGCCCAGACUCCUGCGGGAGGCAGCAGUGGGGAAUAUUGCACAAUGGGCGCAAGCCUGAUGCAGCGACGCCGCGUGAGGGAUGGAGGCCUUCGGGUGGGGAACCUCUUUCGCCAGUGAAGCAGGCCUGCUCCUGUGUGGGUGGGUUGACGGUAGCUGGAUAAGAAGCGCCGGCUAACUACGUG
rnacentral:rRNA from 1 species